rnacentral:rRNA from 1 species
GAGUUUGAUCCUGGCUCAGAACGAACGCUGGCGGCAUGCCUAACACAUGCAAGUCGAACGGGAUCCUGGCUUCGGUCAGGUGAGAGUGGCGGACGGGUGAGUAACGCGUGGGAACCUGCCCAGUGGUAGGGGAUAACUGCGGGAAACUGCAGCUAAUACCGCAUGAGCCCGAGAGGGGAAAGAUUUAUCGCUAUUGGAGGGGCCCGCGUUCGAUUAGGUAGUUGGUGAGGUAACGGCUCACCAAGCCGACGAUCGAUAGCUGGUCUGAGAGGAUGAUCAGCCACACUGGGACUGAGAUACGGCCCAGACUCCUACGGGAGGCAGCAGUGGGGAAUAUUGGACAAUGGGGGCAACCCUGAUCCAGCAAUGCCGCGUGAGUGAUGAAGGCCUUCGG